UACGAGGGGGGCAAAUGUUGUUCGGAAUCACUGGGCGUAAAGGGAGCGUAGGCGGGCUUUUAAGUUAGGUGUUUAAUCCCGGGGCCCAACCCCGGACAGGCACUAAAACUGGGAGUCUUGAAUAGGGGAGAGGCCAGCGGAAUUGGGGGUGUAGCGGUGGAAUGCGUAGAGGUCCCCAAGAACACCAGUUGCGAAGGCGGCUGGCUGGACCCAUAUUGACGCUGAGGCUCGAAAGCAUGGAGAGCAAACAGG
rnacentral:rRNA from 1 species